rnacentral:lncRNA from 1 species
GGGACCUUCUCCACGCUCCCGAGGCGAACGCAGGGCGUGGGUGUGCGGAGGGGGGCGCGCACAUCUGGGGAAGAAGCCCGAGUGGGCGGAGAGCCGCAUCUGCUGCAGUGGGCGGGCUGUCGCAGGAAGGAGCCCCAGCAGCCGCCACCGCCACCUCGGGAGUUUGCUGGGCUAGUGCAGUAACUAUGCAGCAUGACUGGACAGUGCGUAGAUUUGAUCAGGAAUUCAUAUCCAGAGCUGCAGCAAAAUACUGGUGUCUCUCAAGCAAGAUUUAUUGUUUCUGCUGGUCUCUGGCUUUAUUCAUCUGAGGAAGAAGCAUGAUGUAGUGGGAAGAGCAGUAGAUCAGAAGAUUUAGGUUCACACUAUGGCUUUGCUACUUCCUUACUUCCUCUGUGACCUCAGGCAAAUCACCUACCCAUUCUGGACCUGAUAUUCCUCAUCUCUUAAAUGAUGGAGUAUACAAUCAACUUCUUGCAUCCAUUGCAUUGAGUACUAACAAACUUGUGACUCAAGCUCUGACUGUAGAGAUCAUCCAGGACAAUGAAUGCACCCAAAUCUCUUUAUGUUGACCCUGAAAUAAUCAUCAGACACUGAUUCUUUCCACUCAUGUGAAGGAAAGGACAAAGGAAGAGGUAAGAAUUGGGCAGAGCAGAAGAUAUACCAUAUACAGCAUUCAAAGCCACAAGCCAGAUAGAAACAGAGCACUGGGUCUGAGGAAUAGAAGAUUAUCCCUAACAGAAAAGGGAAUGGAAAGCCAGCUGAAGCUAGUCAUCUAUUGAUAGCUGUUACUCAAGACAAGGAUCUGAGCCCAGCAAACCUCCUAACUCAUAAUGUGAGGAGGUUAAAUUAAUUUCUAAAGUCCUAUUUUUCUUUCUAAUCAUUUUAGAAGUUCUUGCAUUUAAUCCAUGAUCUCUGGCAAUCCACAGUAUUAUCUUUCAUUUAGUUAUAUUGGUUCAUUUUCCUUCACAUUAUACAUUAAAUAUGCCCCUUGGUUUUCUUUUUCAGAUUUUACUCUUCCUUUUGUCUAUAUGAUCCUCUCUCUUAGUUAAUCUGCUUGUUGUCUGUUUUUUUUAAUACAGGUUCUCUAUUGGUCUUUCAGAUUUUCUCUUGCAUUUUAGGUCACUCGCAUUUGGGAAGCUACCAAGUAGCCCAGCCUUGGGGAAAUCUGUACAAAAGUGGAAGGGGCAGGGACUGGAAAUGGUGGAGGAUACCCAAGUGUUAAACACGGAGAAUUCAUCAGAAAAGAUGAAAGACCAGACUAUCAAGAGAGAGUCUGAAUAAAAACCCAGCCACAAGCA